rnacentral:lncRNA from 1 species
UUUUUUUUUUUUUUUGUCUUUUUUGCCAUUUCUUGGGCCGCUCUCGCGGCAUAUGGAGGUUCCCAGGCUAGGGGUCUAAUCGGAGAUGUAGCUGCCAGCCUACGCUAGAGCCACAGCAACGUGGGGUCCAAGCUGCAUCUGCAACCUACACCACAGUUCAUGGCAAUGCCGGAUCGUUAACCCACUGAGCAAUGCCAGGGAUCAAACCCGAAACCUCAUGGUUCCUAGUCGGAUUUGUUAACCACUACGCCAUGACAGGAACUCCAUGAGAUGUUUUUAAACUUAAAAAUUGAAUGCCUUUUCAUAUACUGCUCUUAGGAUUGUAAAAUGGUACAAGCUCCUUGUAAGCAGUUUCUUAAAAAGUUAAACAUAUACAACCAUAUGACCCAGCUGUUCUAGGUAUUUUUAUCCAAGAAAAGAGAGAUACCAGGAAAGCAUAUCCCGUUAAAAGAUAAAAUGUAAAUGAAUGUAAUGUGAAUGUAAAUGAACAUUCAAUACUGGCUUUAUGAUAGCUAAAGAAAAAAAAUAGAAACAAUCCAAAUGUCCAUCAAUAGAUGAACAGAUAAACAACUGUGGUAUAUCCAUAAAAUGGAAGGCUACCGAGCAGUAAAAGGGAAUGAGCUGAAUGUCAAAAUGAUUAUGAUAAGUGAAAGAAGCCAGACCAAAGAAAAAGUAUAUACUAAAUGACUACAUCUAUAUAAAAUUCUAGGAAAUGGUAUUCCAUAGCAACAGAAAUCAGAUGAAUGCUUGGGAGCAGAUGGGGUAAGGAGGGCAGAGAGAUUACAAUAGGGCAAAAAGAAACUAAGGAUGGAAUUCCCGUCAUGGCUCAGUGGGUUAAGGAUCCCAUGUUGCCAUGAGCUGUGGCAUAGGUCGAAGACGUGGCUUGGAUCCUGCUUUGCUAUGGCUGUAGCGUAGGCCGGCGGCUACAGCUCUGAUUGGACCCCUAGCCUGGGAACCUCCGUAUGCUGUGGGUGCGGCCCUAGAAAAGACAAAAAGACAAAAAAAAGAAAAGAAACUUUAAGGAUAAUAGGUGUGUUCACUCUUGUUCUUGGUGAUGCUUUCAUCAUAUGACAUCUCUGACAUACUUCGAAACUUACCAACUUACAUAUAUUUUAUAUAUGUACAAGUUAUGGUCUGUCAGCCAUACCUCAAUAAAGCUGUUAAAAUCUACCUUUUGGCAUUGUUUUAAAAGUAUAGGCAAGACUUAUUAAAAUGGUAUUUUUUAAAUCAUAUGUUAGUAAAUCAAAUAGUUUCCUCAUGUAUAAAUUGUUUUCCAAUUACUCUAUGUUUUGGCUUUGUUACCACAGAUGCCAGCCAGAAACAUGAGAACUGCAUUACAGAUGAUCAUUUUUUUUUUGUUUAGCUCAACCCCCAUCAGUAAAUUUGCCCUUUGGCCUUCCAAAGUGAAUAGUGAUAUUCUCUAGCAUUUUAAGAAUUUAGUAUUGUAUACCUGUUUUUCAGUUAACAUUUAUUCAAGGCCAUAGAUGACCUACAAAUGUAGAGGGCAUUUUCCAAAACAUUUGUUGGAGGGAGAGGGGAGAGCUCUCUGAAAGACAGUAAUAACUCCAAGAGAGUUUGGGUAGAACACUAAGAUAUUCAUUGAAAGCCAGCAGUUGGCUUUUAAUAAUUAAAUGAUUUUUAUUUUUUCCCAUUAUAGCUGGUUUACAAUGUUUUGUCAGUUUCCUACUGUACAGCAAGGUGACCCAGUCACACAUACAUAUAUACAUUCUUUUUUCUCACAUCAUCAUGCUCCAUCAUAAGUGACUAGACAUAGUUUCCAGUGCUACACAGCAGGAUCUCAUUGCUUAUCCAUUCCAAGGGCAAUAGUUUGCAUCUAUUAACCCCAAGUUCUGGCUGUUAAUAAUUGUCUCAUUUUAUGUGGAUCUCAUAGGCAGAAUAAUGACCCCCCACCAAAGAUGUCCACAGCCCUAAUCUUCAGAACCUGUGACUGUGUCACCUUUGCAGAUGUGACUAAAUUAAGGACCCUAAUAUAAUCCUGGAUUGUCCAAGUGGGCCCAAAAUAAUCACAAGCGUCCUUCUAAGGAAAGGGAGGCAGGAGUGUCAGAGUUGGAGAAUGAGAUGACAGUGAAAGAAGCAUCAGAGAGAUCCAACACUGGCUUUGAAGAUGGAGAAAGGCAAACAAGCCAAGAAAUGUGCAAGGCCUUUAGAAACUGAAGAAGCCAGAGAAGAGAUUCUCCCCUAGAGCCUCCAGAAGGAAUGCAGUUCUCCUGGCACCUUGACUUUAGCCCUUGUGCUGGACUUCCGACCCCAAAGAUAUGAGAUAAUAAACUUUGUAGUUGUGGCCUUCUGUUAGAGCAGCAAUGGAAAACCAAUAUAGUGAAUAAGCACGCUGCAUGAGGGGAAGGACACUGACAUCCCCCAGACAUCUUCACCCCAAAUAAAAAGAUGCUGUUUGAAAAACAGAGGACUUAGUUUGAUCUUCCCUCUACUUUCCAGCUCAUGAUCUCAGUUAUUUUACAUGGAUUUUUUGUGUUUGUUACUUGAUUGGUGUUUCUCCUAUCCAGCUUGCCAUGGUGCAGUUCUGAUCCCAACUCUUCCCAGUUUCUGGAUAAACACCUCUCUCUGAACUGCUAAUACAGAGAGAGGUAUCCUCUCAUUUUUCUGUUUCUUGACUGUGCCUCAGCCUCUCCAACACAAAAAGCCUCUUUGAAACAACUGUAAGAGGUGCAAAAUAUGGUAUAAUUAAUAUUACACCAAAGGUGCUGGCAGUGGCACGUCUAAGAGUCACAGGGAAGUGAAGUAGAGGGCAGGUAGAUUUUCUGCACUCUUCAGAACCAGGUGUAGAGCUCAGAUUCAAUAGUACUAUCCUUGGGAGUUCCUGCUGUGGCUCAGCAGUAAUGAAUCUGACUAGUAUCCAUGAAGAUGUAGGUUCAAUCCCUGGCCUCAUUCAGUGGGUUAAGGAUCCAGUGUUGCUAUGAGCUGCGGUGUAGAUCGCAGAUGUAGCUCAGAUCCCGAGUUGCUCUGGCU